rnacentral:rRNA from 1 species
UACGAAGGGUGCGAGCGUUAAUCGGAAUUACUGGGCGUAAAGCGUGCGCAGGCGGUUCGCUGUGUCCGAUGUGAAAGCCCCGGGCUUAACCUGGGAAUGGCAUUGGAAACUGGCGGGCUUGAGUGCGGCAGAGGGGGGUGGAAUUCCGCGUGUAGCAGUGAAAUGCGUAGAGAUGCGGAGGAACACCGAUGGCGAAGGCAGCCCCCUGGGUCGACACUGACGCUCAGGCACGAAAGCGUGGGGAGCAAACAGG